rnacentral:rRNA from 1 species
UACGUAGGGGGCAAGCGUUGUCCGGAAUCAUUGGGCGUAAAGCGCGUGUAGGCGGUUCGAUAAGUCUGCUGUGAAAGUCCAGGGCUCAACCCUGGGAUGCCGGUGGAUACUGUCGGGCUAGAGUGCGGAAGAGGCGAGUGGAAUUCCCGGUGUAGCGGUGAAAUGCGCAGAUAUCGGGAGGAACACCAAUUGCGAAGGCAGCUCGCUGGGACGUAACUGACGCUGAGACGCGAAAGCGUGGGGAGCAAACGGG